GACAGAGAACUGAGGCAUAAACAGUGAUCUGCCCAAGGCUGCUCUGUGAGUUCCUGCUGAACCCAGGGUUCCAAGUUUGCAGAUCAGAUUCAGCCACACAAACGACAGAACUCAAAACAGGAGACCGGAUGAAAUCAAAAGAAAUGUAGCCAGAGCUGGAAGCCUAUGGCUAAGAACAAAAAGAGCCCCCCCCCACCCCCAAAAAAUUGGUUGCCCUGGUUUUCCAGGGUUUUUUAGCUGUUUGAAUGUUUAAUUGGUUUUAUUCUGUUUUUAUAGUGUUGAUUUUAAUUAAUUGGUUUUAAUUGUUUUUAUCCUGUUGUAAACCGCCCUGAGCCAUUUGGAAGGGUGGUAUAUAAAUCAAAUAAAUAAAUAUUCAAGAAGGAAA